ensembl:lncRNA
UGAUAAAAGUAUGGUCAAGGGAUAUUGACAGGCAGUUUUCAAACAAAAAAAUGAAAGCUAUUCAUUGUCAUGUGAAAAAAAUGCACUUGGCACUUAUUGGUAGAACUGAGAGUUUAUCUAACCAUUCUGGAAAGCAGUUUGAACUAGGCCCAAAAGGCUAUGUAACAUUUCAUAUCCUCUGAUCCAGCAAUACCACUUUUAGAUCUAUAUCCCACAUAUCCAAAAAAAAAGGAAAAAAGACCUUUUUGUACAAAAAUAUUUAUAGCAGCUCUUUUUGUGGUGGUGGCUAAGAAAUUGGACACCAAAGGGAUGCCCAUCAAUUGGGGAAUGACUAAACAAGAUAUAUAAACAAGAUAUAUGAUUAUAAUGGAAUAUUAUAUAUGCUGUAAAAAAUGACAAGCAGGUGGAUUUAAGAAAAGCCUGUAGAGAUUAACGUGAACAGAACCAAGAGAACAUUGUACACAGUAACAGCAACAAUUCAGCAACAUUGUUCAGUGAAGAACUAUGAAUGACUUAUUUUCAGCAAAACAAUGGUCCAAGACAAUUCCAAAGGACUAAUGAUGAACAUACUAUCCACUUCCAGAGAAAGAAUUAAUAUUGAUUGAAUACAGACUAAAGCAUGUUAUUUUUUACUUUCAUUUUUUCUUUUAUUCUAGUCUUGUACAAAAUAACUAAUAUGGAAAUGUUUUACAUAAUUGUACAUGGUAUUACCUAUAUCUGAUUGUUUAUUAUCUCAGGGAAGGUGGGAGGGAGGGAGGGAAGAAGAAAGAGAAUUUGGAACUUAAAACUUUAAAUAAAAAUGUUUUUAAAAAUUUAAAGAAUGAACAGGAAUAACAAAAAAAAAAAAAAGGUUGGAAUCUCAGUGAGCUGAAGAUUAUGGUAUUUUGCAGUAUGAUGCUAGAGAAUACUGAAAGUAUUUAUUGGUAUGCCUCAGGCUCUGGAAUGUAUUUCUCUAUAAGCCUCUUAGGGCUGCCCACUCCAAAAUCUGGGCCAGGAUUGGCUGAGUCCUUCCCUAGAUGGGCCCCCUAUAAACCAACUCAUACUUGGGGUUACCUAGUAAUUUGGACAAUAAUAGCAUAUGUUUCAAAUGACAAAGCUCUUUUCCCUAAAACAUUUUUGUUAACUAGGUAGUACAAAAAUUACCAUUAUCCUUAUUUUACAAUUGAGGAGAUUUAAGAAUCAGAAAGAUUAAGCAGCUUGCCCAGGCUUAUUCUCAGUCUAAGAACUUGAGGCUAGUUCUUGUGACUCAGUGGUUUUUACAUUAACAGCAUACUGCUCCUCAAAGCCCAGGUGAGGGGGCAGAUAUGUAUUAUAGAAUGUCAUAUGGAAAGCUAUUUGUCCUCUUAAGUAUGUAAUUGCUACUGGAUAAUACAUAAAUGUCACCUUUCUAUUCAAGCCCUAGUCACCCAAAUAGGAAUCUAAAUUCUGGGUUACUUAGUUACUUACUGUAGUUUCUUAUCCAAAGUUUUUUGAACUUCAAGUUCAUCGAGCUUCCUAGUUAGAAGUGACUCUUUAGGGAAGACUGUAGAGGGCUGGAACUCUGGAGAAGUAUACUUGAAACAAGGUGUUAACUCAAUGGAAUUGAGAUGAUUGUUCUCUAGUUCACGUAUAUACUUAGUACUUAGCAUGUAAUGGUUCUCUAGUUCACACACAUUCAUUUUGCUGUAAUGAUGUAAUUACAGUAAGGUAUAUAAGGCCUGAGGAUUGGAAGAGAGGCAUUCCAUCUUUGAUCAGCCUCGCUGUUGCUCUCCUGCCUCUUGCACUAAGAUCGAGACUGGGCCAGAAUAAAGGAUCUAAACUAUUCUUGACCAUUCUCAUGGUGUCUAUCCUGCUGAGACCAAGGCCCGUCCGAAGGACUUCCAGAAAGCUAGCUUGGACAUUAUAGAAGACCAUUCAAAAGAUCAAUUAUUUUUCUUUCUUGAACUAUUAAGUGAUAAUUUAAUUCAUUAUGAGUAAUACACUACAACUUAUUUAUGCUUUAUCAUAGGUCUCUCUGGGUUGCUUACAAUCUCAAUUCGUUAGAAAUUGUAAGAAUUAUAUGAUUCAGAUGCAAAUGCUGUCACUGGAAGCAGCUUGGGUUUGUUAAAAAGUGCUGCACAAUUUCCUCAGUGUAAUUCAGAAACAUGGUAUACCGGUAAUGAGAUGAGAUGUGGAAAUAGGAUCACAUGUGCUGAAGCAUAUAACUAAACAUCACUUGCAUAUAGGAAGUAGAAUAAGGACUAUCAGCCAGGAAAAGUAUGAUUGGAAAAGUUGGGUUGGUCACAAUUUGAGAGUGACAAAUAAUACAUGCAAUGUCCAAGUGCUUUACUGGUACUCAUGAAAUGUUAGAUGACUGAAAGGAGAACUCACCUCUCUGAAUUCUGGGUCAUUUGGCAAUGUAGAUAAUACCAAAGUCCUCAAGUUACAUAGAUCCAAGUUUAUAUCUUGGAGGUUCCUCAAUUAAUACUCUUUAGAUUCAUGGUUGCCCUCAACACCUUGGGAACAUCUAAAUUUGACUAAUGUCUAGCUUUCCCCUAGUGGUGCUCAACUCCCACUGAAAACAACUGAGGAACAAAGGCCCAGAGCAUAGGCCAGGUUUUAUAAACACACAUCCAAGAUGGACCUGCAUUUGAGCUAUCAGACAAUCCAGAAAAUGUUCUUCAGUGUCCUCCACAUUCCCCAGGAAAGGCCUUAUGCAACCACUGUGAAGUUGUGGUUCAGUUGCUUUUCAGUCGUGUCUAACUCCUGGUAGCCCCAUUUGGGGUCGUCUUCACAGAGAGAUCUGAGUGUGGGCUCCGGAGUGUCUGCUUGGCGUGGUUCCUGGCUCUAAGUAGAAGUCCCAGAUGUCUGAGGGCUCCUAUGUCCCUGCCGUUGCCCCUUCCUCAGGUUACUGCUACAGCUCUUACAGAGAGAGCCCAGGUCAUGCCUCUUUGGGCUAGUAACAGUUUAUACUCUUGUUCACAUCCCACUCAGCCAACACUUAAAAAUGCACCUAGUGAGACUUUUUGUCCAACUCGGUUCAUCGGCGGGCCAUAGCCCUUUCUUCUACCCGAGAUAAGGUGACUCACUGGUAUAAUGAAGGACCUCUGGAUGGUGGAUACUUGAUGUAGUGUCAGCAGCCUCUCACUGCGGGGGAUGAAGACUGAGGAGUGAGAAGGGCUUCUGGCAGCACCAGAAUUUCCCCACGAACAGAAGCUCUUUGCGUUACCAACAGUUCUGGUAUCUACAAUGUGUCUUGGUUCUUAAACAGCAUCUUCAGAUCUUACAUCUUGAACUGUAUAUCUCAUAAAUAUUUAAAAUUUUACAUGCCCCAGACUGGUCUUUAUUUUUCUUACCAUAGCUUCUUCUCAACUACCC